AGGCUGUGAUGAUUAAAUUUUGUACCAUCAAACUCUGAAAGCCAAUUUGAGCUUUUCGAUGCCAUCUAUCACUUUCUGAGCCU